GUCCUCGGGGUGUGGUGGAUGCACGCGACUCUGCGAAGGUCGCAGACCAGGUUCGAUUCCUGGCGGGGACAC
rnacentral:tRNA from 1 species